rnacentral:rRNA from 1 species
UACGGGGGGGGCAAGCGUUGUUCGGAAUUACUGGGCGUAAAGGGCGCGUAGGCGGCCUGCUAAGUCACACGUGAAAUCCCUCGGCUCAACCGGGGAACUGCGUGUGAUACUGGCGGGCUUGAAUUCGGGAGAGGGAUGUGGAAUUCCAGGUGUAGCGGUGAAAUGCGUAGAUAUCUGGAGGAACACCGGUGGCGAAGGCGGCAUCCUGGACCGAGAUUGACGCUGAGGCGCGAAAGCUAGGGGAGUAAACGGG